rnacentral:rRNA from 1 species
UACAGAGGGUGCGAGCGUUGUUCGGAAUUAUUGGGCGUAAAGGGCGCGUAGGCGGUGCGGUAAGUCACCUGUGAAAUCUCCCGGCUCAACUGGGAGCUUGCAGGCGAAACUGCCGUGCUGGAGUGUGGGAGAGGUGCGUGGAAUUCCUGGUGUAGCGGUGAAAUGCGUAGAUAUCAGGAGGAACACCUGUGGCGAAAGCGGCGCACUGGACCACAACUGACGCUGAGGCGCGAAAGCUAGGGGAGCAAACAGG